rnacentral:rRNA from 1 species
UGAGAUGAGUCUCUACCUUCUGAGGAACUUUCAUGCCAUUUAUUUGGUGUGGUUGGAAAUCAGGACUGUUACUUUGAAAAAAUUAGAGUGUUUAAAGCAGGCUAACGUCUGAAUACAUUAGCAUGGAAUAAUGAAAUAGGACGGAUUGAUUCUAUUUCGUUGGUUUCUAGGGUCACCGUAAUGAUUAAUAGGGAUAGUUGGGGGCAUUAGUAUUCAAUUGUCAGAGGUGAAAUUCUUGGAUUUAUUGAAGACUAACUACUGCGAAAGCAUUUGCCAAGGAUGUUUUCAUUAAUCAAGAACGAAAGUUAGGGGAUCGAAGACGAUCAGAUACCGUCGUAGUCUUAACCAUAAACUAUGCCGACUAGGGAUCGGACGCAGUUAAUUUUAUAAUGACGUGUUCGGCACCUUACG